GCGGGAAUAGCUCAGCUGGUAGAGCGUCAGCCUUCCAAGCUGAAUGUCACGGGUUCGAAUCCCGUUUCCCGCUCCA
rnacentral:tRNA from 1 species